rnacentral:rRNA from 1 species
UACAGAGGGUGCAAGCGUUGUUCGGAAUUAUUGGGCGUAAAGCGCGUGUAGGCGGCUUUGCAAGUCGGGUGUGAAAGCCCUCGGCUCAACCGAGGAAGUGCGCCCGAAACUGCAGAGCUUGAGUACCGGAGAGGAUGGCGGAAUUCCCCAAGUAGAGGUGAAAUUCGUAGAUAUGGGGAGGAACACCGGUGGCGAAGGCGGCAUCCUGGACCGAGAUUGACGCUGAGGCGCGAAAGCCAGGGGAGCAAACGGG